UGGGAUGAAUCCCCUACCUUGUAAAACCUUUCUCAACUAGAUUUUAGAGUUGCCUAAUGCAGUGUCUCUUCCAUGGCAGCCCUCAAACAACCCAUUAUUAUAGCUCCUUGGGUCAAAUUCAGAGGAUAUGACACCUGAAUGUAGGUAUUAUAUGUGAUGAUUGUGAUGUCAGUCAGGAUCAACAAGAUCUAGAGCUCAGUUCUGCGUAAACAUAGGUGCUCAGUGUCUGUUGGACGUGCUUGGGUAUCUCUCCUUUUCUACAGAUGAUACUUAAAAAGCCCUUGUUGCACUCCUGAAUAUAUCUUAGAGUUCUGGAACAUAUAGGCUGCACUGGACAUAUGAAUUUUCCCAGAUUUGAAAAAGAGAUCUGAAAGAGUUCAGCUGCUGGCAGUAUCAAGCCCUUGGUUCCUCUGAUUCUGCAAGAUUCACACGGACCACUAUGGGAAUGACAACAUAGACAGGAAAGUACUACUGAAAGAGAACCUUGCAAGGUAUUAUGUGACAAAAGUCUGCACAGGGAGAAGUAGAGCAGAAUACCUGACUUCUGAUAAAUUGACUCAGUAGAAGUUUGGACAGCCCCAGACCUCAGAGGUUCCUAGAACUAUUAGUCCCCAGGCAGCUAACUUGCAAAACAAUGCUCAAACUCCAUGAAACCUCCAACAGAUUGGGUCCUGCUUUUCACUUUAAGUCCUCCAUGGUAUUGUUACAAAAACAUGGCUGGUGUAUUCUUCUCCUAUUCUAGUUUUUGAGAAAAAGACUUUUGGAUCCAGUGCUUUGUGCAGAAGCCCAGAGUACCAAUAUGUACAGGAUCAGUUCAGAAUUAAGUGAGGGAACUUGCACUUAGAGGAUAUCAAACAUGCUUAACCUCAUGGCAGCACUAAAUUUCUCCAUUUUGCAAUAGUAGCCAGGCCUUGGGGUGCAUGCAGAAGUGAAAUUAUGUGCCUCUGAGCAACGUUAGUGGGAAAUAAUAUGUUGUUUAUAAAAUUACAAGGGCAAAAAUGGUCUAUCGAGCACCAUCUUGGAUUUAAGACUCAUCAAUAAAACAGCCUAUUUCCCUGUAUGCUGUCUCUUAUAAUCUGUUUCCAUUUACAUUUGUGCCUUUAUCAGCACACCAAAUGUAUUGGCAACCAUUUUUGAGCUCACCUUUUGACCUCAGUGUUAGAAAACACUCACCUCAGUAUCAACCAUGAGCAAUAUUCCUCAGGAAUUAUCAAAAAUAAGUCAGAGUGGAUAAGGCUGAGUGGGUUCUAGCCCCCAUGGGCUUUAAAUUGCUUAUGAAAAUGAUCCUGGACAUUUUGAAAGCUUUGGCAUAGUAGAACUUUUAUUCAGUUAAUAUCACUCAUGUGCCUUCCAGUGGAAAUGUGAUAAAUACAGCAUCAGAAGAGUCAAGAUGAAUGAAUGUCUACAUCCAGGGACAAGGAAUGCUGACAGGCUUUUCUCAUGAGGGAGCAGGUAUCCUACUGCACAUGUCUUCAUCCUCACUAUUUACCAGUCUCACUCUCCAUGUUGUCUUUGAAGAAUGUUUCCACCAAAUAUGUUUCUCACAAAGAAUUAAUUCUGAAGGAGACCUAGUUUCCUUUUCUUAACAGAGUUAAGUUGCUUUGGAAUUGCUGUAGGACACAGAGCAGAAAUCAGUAAUGCCACUUUGCAGAUGUGUUUUGUAACAAAGUUGCACUGUAGGCAUGCUGGACUAACAGGACUCCCUAAGGCCAUACCUUCCCUUAGAGCUCAGCCAGAUGCUCUCAACAAGCUCUGUAAAGUGUUCUGGAAACAUUGAAAUGUGACAACAAAAAUGAUAGAAACUUUCAUAAAUAUAUCCAAGUAUCUGAGGACUGCACUAAUGCAUACUCUGUAAUAUUGCUAGA